GACGAACGCUGGCGGCGGGCUUAACACAUGCAAGUCGAACGGAAAGGCCCUGCUUGUGUGGGGUGCUCGAGUGGCGAACGGGUGAGUAACACGGGAGUAACCUGCCCUUGACUUGGGGAUAACUUCAGGAAACUGGUGCUAAUACCGGAUAGGAGCUCCUGCUGCAUGGGGGGGGUUGGAAAGUUUCGGCGGAUGGGGAUGGACUCGCGGCUUAUCAGCUUGUGGGGUGGGUAGUGGCUUACCAAGGCUUUGACGGGUAGCCGGCCUGAGAGGGUGACCGGCCACAUUGGGACUGAGAUACGGACCAGACUCCUACGGGAGGCAGCAGUGGGGAAUAUUGCACAAUGGGCGGAAGCCUGAUGCAGCAACGCCGCGUGCGGGAUGACGGCCUUCGGGUUGUAAACCGCUUUCGCCUGUGACGAAGCGUGAGUGACGGUAAUGGGUAAAGAAGCACCGGCUAACUACGUG
rnacentral:rRNA from 1 species